rnacentral:rRNA from 1 species
AUUGAACGCUGGCGGCAGGCCUAACACAUGCAAGUCGAGCGGAGCGGCGGACGGGUGCGUAAUGCCUAGGAAUCUGCCUGGUCGUGGGGGAUAACGUCCGGAAACGGGCGCUAAUACCGCAUACUAUCAGAUGAGGCUGGGUCGGAUUGGCUAGAUGGUGGGGUAAAGGCCUACCAAGGCGACGAUCCGUAACUGGUCUGAGAGGAUGAUCAGCCACACUGGAACGGAGACACGGCCCAGACUCCUACGGGAGGCAGCAGUGGGGAAUAUUGGACAAUGGGCGCAAGCCUGAUGCAGCCAUGCCGCGUGUGUGAAGAAGGUCUUCGGAUUGUAAAGCACUUUAAGUUGGGAGGCGUUACCAACAGAAUAAGCACCGGCUAACUCCGUGCCAGCCGCCGCGGUAAUAC